CUGUUUCUCAGAUUCUCCCUGCGUAAUUACGUUCUUUCACUCUCCAAAGGGUUCCAGUUUGGAGGAUAAAUUAUACAAUCCCUCUGAGACGAGCUCACUUAUAAAACUGGCUGAGUUUGAGGCAUUUGGCAGUCUAGAUCUUUUACAACUUUUUCAAUUUCCCAUAUGAUUAUUGUCUAUUGAAAUUUUUUGUUUAUUUUUGAGCCAACUUAAAAAUGUAUUUAUUUUCUUAGACAAUCUUUCAUUUCACGGAGGUUUCGAAGUUUGUCAGUAUACAAUUGCACAAGCUACUUCUUUCAAGUACCUUGAGACAUUUAUGUAUCUUACAGAUCUUUUCAUCUAUUUUAUCAAAUUUAGUGUAUUUUUAUUUUCAUCAAUCUGCUUUCUCUGGAGUUAUCAUUAUUGUUUUCUCUUCUCUUUCUAUCUUUUUAAAUUGAAUGUUCAGUUAAUUUGUCAUUCUUUCUUAUUUUCUAUGAAAUACAAUAUAAAUAAUAAAUUUUGAUCUGUGUAUCAUUUUGGUCAUAUAUCUUAGAUUAUGAGGUGGGUACCCUCAUUGUCUCAUCUCUAAGUAGUUUUGAUUUUGCAACUGUCUUUACAUAUCAGUAAAUGUGUAUCAAUCUAUCAUAGCAUUCCAUUGUAAAGACACAUCCUACUUUCUUUAAUCUAUCACCUCAUGUUGGAAGUUGUUACUGUUCCCAAUUUCAUUACUGUUAUGAAUAAUGUUAUAAUGAAUAUAUUUGUUCACCAGUUCACUUAUUUCUUUAGAAUAAAAUCUGAGAAAAUUUUGAUCAAUGUAUAUGGUCACAUUUUUAGUCUUUUGAAACACAUUUCAAAAUUUCCCAUCCAAAAGGCUAUAUCGAUUUUCAGACUGUCAUCAGCAAAGCAUGAGAAUUCUCAUUUCCUCACAUCUGCAACACUAAGAAUUCCUAGGGUUUGGCUUUAGGAGAAUGAGCUACACAAGACUAAGAUAUGGUCGUC
rnacentral:lncRNA from 10 species